AUGCAGCAGCCAGCAAUAUCUGAAAACAGAAAGGGCAUCUUGCCACUACCUUGCUCAAGAUCCAUCCCCCUCUCUCCCUGCCUCUGCCUAUCUAUAACUCUGCCUUUAAAAAAAAAAAAAAAAAAAAGGGUUGGGAGAGAGGAUUGGACAAUCAUGACCUUGCAAUGUUACUUGCAAAUGUUACCACCAGAAAAGGAGAUAAUUCUUCCAGGAGGUCAGGCACAGGGUCUCUCCCCUGGUGCCCCUCAGCCUCCCUCGCCCGCAGUCCUAACACGUGACCGCCCCACUCUGUCUCCAGUGCCCCAGGAGCCUGGGAAAGAAACGCUGACUCAGCACUUACUUAGCAUGUCAGGUACAGCCUUGGCUCUCUCACCUCCCUCCCUGUUCUGGAUGCAAGCAUCGUUCUGCCUGGUGUAGGGGCUGAGGGCCUGGCCCUUCUGAGCCUCAGCCUUAUUUCAUGGAGCAAGGGAGCCUUCAUGUCCACCUCGGAGCGGGGUGAGGAGUAAGUAACCCGGGUCAGUGUUUGGCCUCAUGGUUAAGAGGCCGAGUGCCACAUCAGAGUGCUUGUGUUCAAUUCCCAGCUCUGGCUCCCAAUUCCAGCUUCCUGCCAGUGCAGCGCCUGGGAGGCAGCAGUUCCUGCCACCCACGUGGGAGACCUGGAGUGUGUUCCUGGCUCCUGGCUCUAGCCCUGCCCACCCGUAACCAUGUGAGUAUUGGGGGAGUGAAGUAAGGGAUAGGAGCCCUCUUUUUCUCUCUGUCUGUCUCUCUGCUAUCCAAGAAAAAAGAAUGAAAAUGCUUAGCUGCUGGUAAAGCACUGCAUGUAGUGCUGGCCCAGGGUGCAUGCUCAGGCAGUGUUAUCAUUCUUACAGCCUGUCCUCCGUGAGCCUUCUUCAGGGACCUAAGCCCCAGAUCUUUCACUUCCCCACAAGGCGGCAGCUCCGUGGGAGUAGAACCGGGUCUGUCUGGUUUCCUUCUGUGUUUCCAGCACUGGGUCUGACAUAGAGAAGGCUUUUGGCAGUGUUAAGUCGAAAUGAACUAUUUAGGGACUGGCACUGUAGCAUAAAAGGUUGAACUGCAGCCUGCGAAGCCAGCAUCCCAUAUGGGCACUGCUUUGAGUCUUGGCUGCUCCACUUCGAUUCAGCUCCCUGCUAAUGGCCUGGGAAGGCAGCGGAAGAUGGCCCAAGUACUUGGGCCCCUGCCCCCACGUGGGAGACCUGGAAGAAGCUCCUGGCUCCUGGCUUCUGUCUGGCCCAGCCCUGACUGUUGCGGCCAUCUGGGGAGUGAACCAGCGGAUGGAAGAUCUCUCUCUCUCUCUCUCUCUCUCUCUUGCCCCUUCUCCCUGUAACUCUGACUUUCAAAUAGAGAAAUAAAUCUUUAAAAAAAUUAUAUCCUCCA
rnacentral:lncRNA from 1 species